CCGAUGACGCGUCCACAGGCCAACACCCAGCAAGUGAGCCGGAAACCGAUCCCAGCUUGCUGGGAGGCGUCGAGCGCGGACCGGGUGAAGUAAUGCAUAGGAAUCUGCCCGGUAGUGGGGGAUAACUUGAGGAAACUCAAGCUAAUACCGCAUACGCCCUACGGGGGAAAGCAGGGGCUCUUCGGACCUUGCGCUAUCGGAUGAAGCUUAUGUCGGAUUAGCUAGUUGGUGAGGUAACCGGCUUACCAAGGGCGACGAUCCGUAGCUGGUCUGAGAGGAUGAUCAGCCACAUCGGGACUUGAAACACGGCCCCGAACUCUACCGGGAAGGCAGCACGUGGGGGAAUAUUUGGGACAAUGGGCGAAAAGCCCUGAAUCCAGCCAUGCCGCCGUUGUGUUAAAGAAAGGCCCUCGGGUUUGUAAAGCACUUUCCUGGUGAGGAAAAAAGCUUGGUUGGUUAAAACCCCGGAAGGAAAGGGACAUCCCUCCCCAGAAAGAAAGCCCCCGGGUAAAAUCCCGUGCCAGCCAAGCCGCGGGUAAUUACGGAAGGGGGGAAAGGCGGUUAAUUCGGAAUUACCUGGGCCGUAAAAGCGUGCGUAGGCGGCGUUGGUAAGCCGGUUGUAAAGCCCCGGGCUCAACCUGGAAAUGGCAUCCGGAACUGUCAGGCUAGAGUGCAGGAGAGGAAGGUAAAAUUCCCGGUGUAGCGGUAAAAUGCGUAGAGAUCGGAGGAAUACCAGUGGCGAAGGCGGCCGUUAUGGCCGACACUACGUGGAAUCGACCCUUGAUCAUCGGUCAGGCAUGCUUCNCAGGNCNUUAGACCUUUGUGGCGCAUGUUACGCACCUACGUCGACCGCCUGGGGAGUACGGCCGCAAGGUUAAAACUCAAAUUAUUUGACGGGGGCCCGCACAAGCGGUGGAGCAUGUGGUUUAAUUCGAUGCAACGCGAAGAACCUUCCUACCCUUGACAUCGUGCGAACUUGGUAGAGAUACCUUGGUGCCUUCGGGAGCGCACAGACAGGUGCUGCAUGGCUGUCGUCAGCUCGUGUUGUGAAAUGUUGGGUUAAGUCCCGUAACGAGCGCAACCCUUUAUCCUUAUUUGCAGCGAUACGGUCGGGAACUCUAAGGAGACUGCCGGUGACAAACCGGAGGAAGGUGGGGACGACGUCAAGUUAUCAUGGCCUUACGGGUAGGGCUACACACGUGCUACAAUGGCCGAUACAAUGGGUCGCAAAAGCGGCGACGUGGCGCUUAUCCAUAAAGGUCGGUCUCAGUCCGGAUCGGAAGUCUGCAACCUCGACUCCGUGAAAGUCGGAAUCGCUAGUAAUCGUGCAUCAAGAAUGCCCGGAGAAAACGUUCCGGGCCUUGUACACACCCGCCCCGUCAACCAUGGGAGUGGACUGCACCAAAAGUGGUAAGCCUAACUUGGAAGGGCGAAUACCACCGGGUGGUUUAUUGACUGGGGUGAAAUCCCAAAAAGAAAAACCCCU
rnacentral:rRNA from 1 species